UUACUUGUAUUGUAAUUUAUAUAGGUGUAUAUUUUUGGGAAUUAAUUAGGACAAAGAAGCAUAUUUUAAUUAAUUGAUAGAAGUAAAAAGGGAUUAGGAAAUAAUUCAUCUACCUAAAGAUAUUGGGCCAUCUCCCUUUAAACCAAAUCAGCAGCCCAAAAUAUCCCCAGCCCAAAAUCUCCUUGACCCGACCCAGCCCAAUAAACACUAAAUCCCCAAACUAAGUCUUCAACCCAUUUUCAUUCUAACUAAACUAAUCAAACCAGCCCCUUUCUCUCCCAAAAAUGAAACCUAGCCGUCACCACCCACCCCACCCCCCAUCACGUCACUUCCAUCGCUUCACCGCCACCACACCCUUAGGACCGCCGGUUAAAGCCAUCACCGACGCCGCUGCCACACAUGCACCACCUCAUCUAUCACCUUUUUCCCUACGUUUGAGAGCUGUCACAGCUCUGUUGAUGACUGCGAAAAGGAAAACUCGAAGAUCUGUCAGAUUGAAGAUUACUUUGCCUUAAAUUCAAUGGGUAAUAAAGGAAUCAGCCAUCAGAUCCAAAAACCAUUUAGGGAUCUCUAAAUUCGGAGCCCCAAUGAACCUCUAGAUUUCAAAUCAUCUCUGAAAAGUUCUCGGCUGAGCAAGGAUUGCUUGAAGCGGAUUCGGAGACUCGAUGACGACAUUAGCCUCAGUUCGCUAUCUCGAAGAAGGUAAUCACACUCUGUCUUUUCUUUGCCUUUAAUUUCAUAGAAGUAGAAAUGUAGUUGUUCAAGUAUCCAGUGUCGUUUGUUUAGUUCAGUGGACUGAAAUGCGAUCAGUCAAUAGUUGUGGUUGGUUGUUGAUUCUGUGGACCCAAACCUGUAUAUGGCCAUGUUUGUUCUAAAUUCUAGCCUAAAAAAUGGUUAAGGAAAUUGCCUACGCUUGAAGGGAUUACUAACUACUUUGUCGACUAUGUGUAGUGGUAUUCAUUUCAAAAUAUUGUGGGAUCAUGUUUCUGUUAGAGAGUCAACAUAUGGUCAUAUAAAUGGUAGAAUAUAGAUUUUGGAAGGUUGUUUGGCACACCAAUAAAAAAAAUAUAAGCAGCAGCGAUUCUUCAUCAAUGUUUAGGAUUGAGACUGUUUUAGAAAUCAGGUCUAAGUGGACUGCAUCUUUUGUCCAGAUUAGUAUCUUGCAUGUACUCAUGUCCAAAGCUAAUGAGUUGGUGUCUGAUUUUUCAGAAGUUAUGUGAUUAUGCCUUGUUCCUUUGUUAGAUACCUUAGCUGCACAUUAGAAGUUUAAGUGGCAGGACUAGCUAAUGUCUUACUCCAAAAAUUCAGAAACUUUUUUUUUCUGGCAAACUUUAUUUUUUAAGCCACUAAUAAAAAGGGGGGUUUGCGUUGGUAAGAUUUUGGGAAUGAAUUUAAUAAAGUAAACCGUUUUACUUCUCUCUUCUAUCCAUCCAUGAGAUUUGAAAAGAUGGCUUGAGUCCAAUGACUACUUUGCUUCUCCGAUAUACCCAUAAAUGGUUAAUAAUGAACUUGUAAAGUGUGCUAAAAUUAUUGAAGUGCAGGUUUUUUUUAAAGUUAUUUGAUCAAGUAUAUUAUUUUCAUAAGAAAAAAUGUUACUUUGACUUGGUCUUAUUGGUACAGAGUCUUCCCCCUGUAUGUUGCUCGCUUAAGUUGUAGCUUUAUUUUUUGGAGAAUUCUUUAUGUGUUGAGAUGAAGUGGUUGUUUUCAUGUAAAUUUUGCCAAAAAAAAAAAAAAUCAGUUUGAGCUAGCUCUAGAUGUUUGAAAAAAAAAAUUAAUAUUUUGAUUAGCCAAAAAAGUUACUUGUCUUGAUUAAUGGAAAAGUUAUUGGUUAGUGAAAAUUAAAUCCGUCGAACAUGUGAAUAGCUUCGUCGCUGGGCUAACUUUGCUGUUCUACGCAAUUGUCCUGUUGGGAUCCUUUUUCAUCAAAUCUUUACCAAAACAAAAGUGAUUUUAACGUUCAGUUAUUAAGUUACAAAUAUUUUGCCAUGGUUGUCUUCGCGCAAGCUUUCCAGCUUGCUGGUUACAAAUUAGUUGGAUAUAUUGAUCAUUUUCUUUAUAUGCACAUAAAGUUAAUGGGCUGUGUGUCCUAUGUGAGAUUCUUAACCAUGUAGUUCAAUUAAAUAACCAAGAUUAGGAAUAGUUUUGUUACUUCCAAAAUAAGAAAAUAAAGAAAAAAAAAUCUCACCAGAAAGUGGUCAACUACUUAAGGUUGGACGAAUGCAUGCCCUCAUGAUUGCUAAGUACACGGUUGGGCUUAACGGCCGCCUUUGUUUCUUCUAUGAUUAAUAACAUGUUCAGAUGUACAUUUGUCUAUCUUUUUCUAUUUUUAGAGGCAGUGUAAUUAUUAAGAAGCUCUGAGACCAAAAAAUGUUUUUUUUUCACAACCCCAAGAGUGAGAACACUAAGAAACCCGGCUAAGCCGUGAGUUUUGAGGAAGUGCUCGGUCAUGUUUAAUUUUUGGAAGUCGUUUCCGUUCGUCGGAAAUUGAUUCGAGUGAAAGGUAGUUCGUCGUCAACCCUCGUCGCCUCCGUCCUUCUCCCUUUCUCAUUUUUAUUUUCAUCUAGUUUUGAUUUUUUUUUUAAAUUCCAGUUCUGUUUCGAUAUAGUCUGUUAGUAUUUUCAUUUUCUGUUAUUAUUCUCUUUGUUUGGAAUUUAUAGUUUCAUUUUCUGCUUUGUUUAAUACCAGCAUGAUUAGUUGAGCGUUAAUUGUGUAAGUUCAGCAUAAGUUAGUCGAUUCGAUUUCGUAAUAUGAUUUGGCUUUAUUUUGGUUAGUAUGAGUGCUUUAGCACCAUUCUAGUACAAAUAUUGUGAAUUUGAGGCAUCCUUAUUACAGCUACUGUGUUUAAAGCUCGUAAAGAUGUCGCAGUUAAGCAUGUCUUUGAAGAAUUAGAUAAAAUGCUGUUUUAGUAAAUGAUAUUUGAUAAUGUUAGAGUCGUAAUUUCCAGCCAUGAGUAUGCAUUUGUUUUAAGUAUGCCUGCGUCUUCCAAUUAAGCAUUAUGGUUACCUGGAGUGUAUGGAUUUCUAAGAAAGAACAGUUCCGAGUUUCCUUUUGAAUAUCCUACAUAGUCAUUUGAAGUUGUUGUCUGAAUGAGAAUCAAGUUUAAUAGUUUUGAAGGAUUCCAAGUAAUCAUGUUGUCAAAAUCUCCUUGCUUUAGGUGUGAUAUAUGGGAUAAUGUGGUAACUGCCUUUAGAUUAAUAUAAGAGAACUAGUAUAAGUUCUCUAAUCUUAAAAUAUAUAAUGAGCAGGUUAAUAAUUUAGUUCAGCCUAAACACUUGAUUAAGAGGAGAUGGGAUUCCCAUAUUUCAAUUUCCAGAGAAAUUAUGGUUUUGUUUGGUGUGGUUGGCGUUUGAAUGAGCUCAUGUGUUUCCUGUUUCUAUUUAAUCUAGUGGCUUAAGGGAUCAAUUAGAUCUUUCUUUUAACUACGACUCAUCUCCAAGUAUCGAUCCUAUCCGAGUAAUGCAAUCUUAAUAUUGUUCGAACAUGUUCUUUCCUCUAAUUUGCUGUUGGAUGACAUUUUUGAAAUACCUUUGGUCUUUAAAACUUGGAAGGAUUAGUGGUAAGCUAAACUUCAUUUUGUUCUGACUUUAGUUGUAAUCUUUGAGAUUGUUAUAGAUCAAAAUUGCUGUAUGAAAAACCAUUGCUUAAAAUCUAGAACUUAAGGCUAGUAACACCUUGUCUUUUGGGAUGAAAUGGAAGAUAAACCAAUGCUGGUAGUUUCUCUUACUACUUGUUAUCCUUGGCUAACUGUCAUCCUAUUCUUUUGGAUUAGAAGACGUGUUUUGGAAUUAACUAGCUGUAUAUAUUGCAUUUCUUACUUGCUAUAUUUCUGUUAUUGAGACUGCUUCUAAUUCCUUUUCUUCCUUUCUUUUGCAUGAACGCACAUGGGACAAUAUUGGAGUUAUGGCAACUCCAAGUUCAGCCCGGAAUUAGGAGUAAACAGUAGCUGCGGUUUUGUUCGAGCUAGCAGUCCCAUUUCAUUCGUGUCUCGAGUCCAUAUCCCUUCUCCUUUCUUCAAAAUUAUUGUGUCUUUAUAUUAUACGCACAUGUUUGUUUACAACUCUUGACUAACGUUUUUGUGGUUUGUAUUUAUAAGCUUGUGUUUGUAGCC